AUGCCUGAUGGGAUGCACCUGAGUGGCCUGAUGGGCCUCACCUGGGCCUCCCAUCCACAUACCCUCUGCCCAUUGGCCUGGGAGUUUUCAUCACAUCCCACACCUGGUCCUUUGCUUGGUGUGUUAGGGUCACUUCUCUUCAGCCCUGUCCUGUGGAAGGAUCUCGGACUGAGGAACGCUGAUGGGCCCUUCUCUGGUAACACUGUUUGGAUGUUGGGAGACUGCUCUAGUUGGAGCUGCUCUAACAGCCUUGUUUCCCACUGGUCCCAUUGGAGCCUAAUCCCAGCUCUACUGCUGCUCUGCGGUCAGCCAGGACCCAGUUCUCCGGACGGCCAUGUAUGGACUGCCUGGGUAAGGUUGGUCGUGGGAUCCCUGGAGUGCAAUACUUUGCUUCCAGAGCUGCUUUGCAGGCCAUUUAGGAAGAAGUGA
rnacentral:lncRNA from 1 species